rnacentral:lncRNA from 1 species
GAGGCAUGGCAAAGUAGGAGCCCUCCAUGGCAGUGCUUGAGUGUCGGGGCUCUGAGUCUCCGGCCUGACCUCUCCACGUGGUCGACGGGAACGUCCCCAGAUGCCAGGAUUCGCAAAGGGCUGACCAGGAUGGCGAAACCUUAGGCAGAGUCCGGGGAAAGCAGCACGGCAUCCCAGCCUCAGGCCUGCCCGGACGGUGUUGGUUGGGGUAAGAUUGGGGAAGAUGCCAGGUGAUAGAAUCCACCCUGCCUCUGACAGCAUCCAAUCUGGAGCAAAGGCUUAUUUCAACCCUCCCCCAAGCUCCCAAUACAAGCCCAAAUUCUGGAACAGGUCCUUUCCAACACCUCCUUCAGAGAAGCUCCCUGGCUCCAGGCAGUGCUUGCUCCCCUCACUGCAGCAGGAAGCCUAACUUGCGAACUGCAGGUGUGCUCCAGGUGGUCACUGGAUGCAAGGCAUUGACAGAUGGAUCCCAUCGAUACCCCCACUGCAAAACCAUAGUGCAGUGAAUAGAAGACACUUCUCUGCACCCCAAAAGCUCCAUGCUGAUUGUGAGAAGGAAAUGCUGGAUGGAGGGGUUCCUGGAACUACUGUGAGGGUUUCUUUUGAUUUCUCCUGCUUAGAAAUGGUGAGAGAACUUUGGAUGUGGAACGUGGAGGAGGAGGAACACGAAGUGGGGAUCUCCACUUGGGGUGGUCAGCACUGCGGGUGCCCAGCAAAGUCACUGCCUGGUCCACAUCCCGGAGGGGUCUCUGCGCCUCAGUCGGCAUCGCAGCUGAUGGUGAAACUUUUGGUGUGGCAGAAGAGUGUCCACAAACUUCGGAAGAUCGCUGCUCAGAGUGAGGAAUGGAGUUGUGUUUUGAAUAAAAUAUCCACGCAUCCUUUUGUGAGCAAGGAGCAUGAUGGUACUUAGACCU